AACAACCCACAAACUCAAAGCCCUGAUAUAUUGUAUGAUGUUCUGUGCGUUUAACAUUGGGAAAUGUGUGGCAGAUCCAGAAAGAAGCUCCCAGGGCAUGCUUGGGCUGCAAUUUUGGUGACUUCAGGAGGUGCUUGGCAGCUGUUAUGGGAAAUCUUGGAGUUUCUUUGCCCUCAUUAGGGGUUUAUCUGCAACACCUGCUGGCAGGCAGUGGCUACAAUGAGCUGGGUUGUGUGAUGAGCUCAGAGAAGAGAGCUCCUCACUGAUGGAGCAAAAUGCAAACAGCAGCAUCAAUUGGCCUGGGGCUGGCACAUCGGGGAAGGGGUCCUAUCCCAGCUGGAGUCCAUGUGUGCACAUACAGAUAAUGUUCUCAAUCAGCCUAUGAGAAUGAAACAAUCCUGAAUUUUAAGCCAAGCUGUGGUUUGCCUUCAAAUCAGAAGAAAUAAGCAUAAACCAUGGAACUGGAUUCAUACCGAUAUCUGUGUGAAACACCCUUGAAAGUUAUGACACCUUUCCAGGGCACUUCUGAGCUGUUUGAUGAACAUCAGCCAGAUCCUGAUGUAUCUGCAGUCUGUGGGUGAGACAGAGCCCAGACCAUCAGACACUCAUUGCCCAUGUAAGUCUCAGCAAUAAAUGGUUGCUGGAGAUGACUGACGUGUUCCCUGUUGUCAUCUGUGUGCAGACCUGACCUUGCCUGCAGUGAAAACACCGCUGCAAGAGAGGGAAAUUCCACUUGUAUUUGUCUGUGUUGAAAAUUACGAGAUGCCAAGAGGCCCAGAAUAAUGAAACAGCUAUCUCGGAUUUGCUUUUACACCAGGGUUCCAAUUUAGAUAAAUUAAAUCUGAAAAGGGGGUAAUUGCUAAA